AGCUGCAGUCACAAACCAAGAUGUGCCCGCCCGAUAAAGGAGUGAAGCUCUGCUGCUAGCACAGAUGUCGCCAUAGUCUCGAGGCACCGUCUGGCAAGGCGAGAGGCUCUGCUUGUAGCACAGUCGCUACCAUAGUCCCGAUGCCCUUUCUGGGUAGGUAAGCAACCAACUAUCCUGCACUGUUUUUUUUUUUUUUUUUUAGUUUGUAAUGCAUGUAUUGUGAAAUUGGGCUUGGUGCCUAGCUAGGUCACGUUUACUAAUGACUAUUUGAACCUAGGUGUGAUGCCAUCAUUGUCCCAAGGCA